CCUACGGGAGGCAGCAGUGGGGGAUAUUGCACAAUGGGGGAAACCCUGAUGCAGCGACGCCGCGUGUGGGAAGACGGUCCUCUGGAUUGUAAACCACUGUCCCCAGGGACGAAGAUGACGGUACCUGGGGAGGAAGCUCCGGCUAACUACGUGCCAGCAGCCGCGGUAAUACGUAGGGAGCGAGCGUUGUCCGGAAUUACUGGGGGGAAAGGGAGCGUAGGCGGGACUGCAAGUUGGGUGUCAAAUCUACCGGCUCAACCGGUAGCCGCACUCAAAACUGCAGUUCUUGAGUGAAGUAGAGGCAGGUGGAAUUCCUAGUGUAGCGGUGAAAUGCGUAGAUAUUAGGAGGAACACCAGUGGCGAAGGCGGCCUGCUGGGCUUUUACUGACGCUGAGGCUCGAAAGUGUGGGGAGCAAACAGGAUUAGAUACCCCAGUAGUC
rnacentral:rRNA from 1 species